AGGGUUGAAAAUAUAUGGCUGUGUUAGUUUAAAUAUAUGGCUGGAGUUAGUUAAGAAUCCUUAUAAUACUUAGCAAACCCAACACUAGGGUAAGGUGAUGUACUCUCCGGUGCUAAAUCUCCCACAGAUAUACUAAUUGGACUUUGCCACACAGAUGCUGGACUUUGUGGACCCUGGCGGCCAUGGGGAGGUGUCCGUGGGCGCUGGGCAAGGCCGAGGGCGAGGAGUACAGCACACUGGAUGAGGGGGACCAUGGAUGGUGCAGGGCUCUCAGGAGAUGGACAAGCAGGAACAGGGGACCAGAACUCACAGGUGUUCUUCAUCGAGUGUGUGAGUGCUGCUGCUGUCGUCUCCAUGAACACCUGCUCAGAGGCACCAAGACCCGUCAAGCCAGUCUGCCCUGCAAGACUGCCUGGUCAAGAUGGGGUCCAGCCUUGCACAGAACUGCUUGGCUGGCUGGCCAGUGCCACAAGUUGGUGGUGACAAAGUAAUGCCCUCCAUGACUGCUUCAGCCUGAUGGAUGGAUCUCAUGGUAGGGUAUGAUGGGCUGAGAGAGAAGGAUGAUGAUGUAGCAAGGUGUGUGGUGACCCAGGCUGUGGAGGGUGGCUGCCACACUCACUGCUCCAGCCACUCACAGCUGUACCUCAGGAGCCAGACACCAUCUGCUUCACUCCUGCCCAGACUUUGCCACUCACACCCAACAGCUGCUUCAUCUUAAGGUGUGUGGUGACCCAGGCUGUGGAGGGUGGCUGCCACACUCACUGCUCCAGCCACUCACAGCUGUACCUCAGGAGCCAGACACCAUCUGCUUCACUCCUGCCCAGACUUUGCCACUCACACCCAACAGCUGCUUCAUCUUAAGGGUUGUGAGCCCCAUGCUAUUGAGUCUCUCCUCGUAAGUCCGAUCCCUAAGUUCCGGUACCAUCUUGGUUGCCAUUCUCUGUACU